ACUAUUUUGGCAGAAAAAUGUGAUGAUUUUAGAAUUCAUUAAUAUAUAAAUUAAUUAUAUAGAUAGUA
rnacentral:tRNA from 1 species